AUUGAACGCUGGCGGCAGGCUUAACACAUGCAAGUCGAACGAGUGGCGGACGGGUGCGUAAUGCUUGGGAAUCUAGCUUAUGGAUGGGGAUAACUACGGGCAACUGUAGCUAAUACCGCGUACCAUAGGAUGAGCCCAAGUGGGAUUAGGUAGUUGGUGGGGUAAAGGCUCACCAGGCCGACGAUCUCUAGCUGGUCUGAGAGGACGACCGGCCACACUGGGACGAAGACACGGCCCAGACUCCUACGGAGGGAAGCAGUGGGGAAUAUUGCGAAAUGGGGGCAACCUGACGCAGCCAGGCCGCGUGAAUGAAGAAGGCCUUCGGGUGGUAAAGUUCUUUCGGUAGCGAGGCGUUAACUACAGAAGAAGCACCGGCUAACUCCGUGCCAGCAGCCGCGGUAAUAC
rnacentral:rRNA from 1 species